UCAUAUGCUUGUCUCAAAGAUUAAGCCAUGCAUGUCUAAGUGCAAACCGCUUGUACGGUGAAACCGCGAAAGGCUCAUUAAAUCAGUUAUGGUUCCUUAGAUCGUACCCUGUUACUUGGAUAACUGUGGUAAUUCUAGAGCUAAUACAUGCCGAUAGAGUUCCGACCUCGUGCCGCGUGUCGCGCCGUCGCUUUGGCGUCGGUGCAGCCGGCGUCGUGGAAAGAACGCUUUUAUUAGAUCAAAACCGGCCGGACGCGCGUCUAGGGUACCCGCGGCGUCGAUCGCGUCGCCACGCGGUCCCUUUUCGCACGCGUAAGUGGUCCGCGCAAAGACUUGGUGACUCUGAAUAACUUUUGGCUGAUCGCACGGUCUUCGUACCGGCGACGCAUCUUUCAAAUGUCUGCCUUAUCAACUGUCGACGGUAGGUUCGACGCCUACCGUGGUGGUAACGGGUAACGGGGAAUCAGGGUUCGAUUCCGGAGAGGGAGCCUGAGAAACGGCUACCACAUCCAAGGAAGGCAGCAGGCGCGCAAAUUACCCACUCCCAGCGCGGGGAGGUAGUGACGAAAAAUAACGAUACGGGACUCAUCCGAGGCCCCGUAAUCGGAAUGAGUACACUUUAAAACCUUGGUUUAACGAGGAUCAAUUGGAGGGCAAG
rnacentral:rRNA from 1 species